GAUGAACGCUGGCGGCGUGCCUAAUACAUGCAAGUCGAGCGAAUGGAUUAAGAGCUUGCUCUUAUGAAGUUAGCGGCGGACGGGUGAGUAACACGUGGGUAACCUGCCCAUAAGACUGGGAUAACUCCGGGAAACCGGGGCUAAUACCGGAUAACAUUUUGAACCGCAUGGUUCGAAAUUGAAAGGCGGCUUCGGCUGUCACUUAUGGAUGGACCCGCGUCGCAUUAGCUAGUUGGUGAGGUAACGGCUCACCAAGGCAACGAUGCGUAGCCGACCUGCGAGGGUGAUCGGCCAAACUGGGACUGGGACACGGCCCAGACUGCUACGGGAGGCAGCAGUAGGGAAUCUUCCGCAAUGGACGAAAGUCUGACGGAGCAACGACGCGUGAGUGAUGAAGGCUUUCGGGUCGUAAAACUCUGUUGUUAGGGAAGAACAAGUGCUAGUUGAAUAAGCUGGCACCUUGACGGUACCUAACCAGAAAGCCACGGCUAACUACGUGCCAGCCGCCGCCGUAA
rnacentral:rRNA from 1 species